GGAGCAUAUUGCACAUCUCACUUUUGCUGUACUGCUUUCAGAACCUGGCUGCCGGUGUAAAGCAGAUAGCUGCAUUCUUUGGAUUCUCACCAACAGCUGAGCAGAUCCAGGCCAUUGCAGGAAGGCACACUUUUCAGCCAACAGCUAUUGGAACAACUUCUGCAGAUGUGGUGAAACCUUAUGGAGGCUGCGCUUCUGUGCACCUCGAUCCCUGCAAAACCAGGUCCCACUGCACCCCAUAUCUGCCCUGCUGCCUCCUGAAGCAGUUCCUGGCAUAAUGUCUUGGGUACAGGAGCUACUGAGAUGCUACAGCAGUUUUAUGGUGACCUUAGAGAGACAAAAGGAGCUUGAAAAGAAGCACACUGAAUGUUUGCUGAGUGGUUUGCACAUAGACAUGAACAGGCUAGCCAGGUUCCAUUCUGGGAGUCAUGAUUUCUGCAGUUCUGAGGACCCACGUCAGCAAGGGCCAGCCUCUCUGAGCGACACUGAUGCUCAGCAGUGUAACCCAGAGGAAAGCAGAGUCCCACAGCAUGGAUGCAAUAGGUAUGGAGGAAUCAAACCUGUGUCUCCCAAGGCGGAACAAAAGUGCCAAGUUGUGGACUCCUGUGAUAAAAAGAGGCUACUCUCCUGUUGAAACUACUUCACAGUCAAAAUUAGUUGGGCAAGACAGAGACUGUGACUGACUGGGCCACCAUACAUGCUCUUGGGAGAUGGGAGCUGAGGGGCUACACUUGAGAAGGAGGGAAGGAGCUUACUGGUCCCUUGCUGGCUGCAGUGGCACAUUCAUUAAUCACUGAACCCUGCAUUGUGCUGUAUUUUGAGUGGAACUUGCUGCUGCCGUGCCUUAUAUGGACAGUAAUCCUAUGGCUGCAUGUCAGGCAGGCAUGUGAGACCAGAGGUCCUCAGGGAGGCUGGGAAAUGUCCAUCUGCUGAUUCUGUCAUGGGAGAAUGAAAAUAUAUGGACAUAUAGGUGUGAAAACAACAUGAUUCUCAGGUCAAGUGGAAAUUUCUGCUCGCAGAGUAAUAUUCAUAUGGGCAGACUCCUUUGCCGGUCUUACACUUCCUGGAUAUGAGAGCAGUGUCUCAUCUCCAUCAUUUCCAUGUAUCACAGGAACAGGACUGCUGGGAAAUAAAUGUAAAGAAAGGAGGCUGGAGAAAUUUGAA
rnacentral:lncRNA from 1 species